rnacentral:lncRNA from 1 species
GUUUUUUCCUUGUUUUUGUCCUUUUUCAGAUAGGAGUAUCAAACAAAGUCCAAAUGGAAUAAAACUUUUGCGAUGAUUUUUUUUGGACCAAAAGAGACCCCCCGAAGCUUUGGAAGAAGGCCAGAAGAGCCACGAGGGAGUCACGAGCCCGGUAGGCGUGCCCUACCCCCCGGGACGGCCUAGAAGGCUCGUGACCUCCUCGUGGGCCCAACUAACAUAAUUCCACAGCCAUAAAUUCCUAUAAAUACAGAAACCCCCCAAAAGAAACCUAGAUCGGGAGUUCCGCCGCCGCAAGCCUCUAUAGCCACCAAAAAC